rnacentral:rRNA from 1 species
UUGGCCAUCGUGACCCGUCCCCCGUAGCGACCCCA